rnacentral:rRNA from 1 species
GACGAACGCUGGCGGCGUGCCUAAUACAUGCAAGUUGAGCGCAGAGGGGUGGAACUUGUUCCUACUGGAUGAGCAGCGGACGGGUGAGUAACGCGUGGGUAAUCUGCCUUUGAGCGGGGGACAACAUCGGGAAACGAAAGCUAAUACCGCAUAAAAAAUUUAAACACAAGUUUUAAGAGUGAAAGAUGGAAUUGCAUCACUCAAAGAUGAUCUCGCGGUGUAUUAGGUAGUUGGUGAGGUAAAGGCUUACCAAGGGCAUGGAACAUAGCCCACCUGAGAAGGGUGUCCGGCCCCAUUGGACCUGGACACCGCCCCAACCUCUUCGGGAGGCCGCCGUUAGGAAACUUCCGCCAUUGGCGAAAGUCUUACCGGGCAACGCCGCGUGAGUGAAUGAAGGUCUCGGAUCCUAAAACUCUUUUUAUAGGGAAGAACGUUAGUGGUAGUGGAAUGCUCACCACGUGACGGUAACUACCCAGAAAGGGACGGCUAACUACGUG